UACAGGGGGUGCAAACGUUGCUCGGAAUUAUUGGGCGUAAAGCGCACGUAGGCGGUUCGUUAUGUCAGAUGUGAAAGCCCCUUGGCUCAACUGAGGAAGUGCAUCUGAAAACUGGCGAGCUAGAGUAUGUAAGAGGGUCGCGGAAUUCCCGGUGUAGAGGUGAAAUUCGUAGAUAUCGGGAGGAACACCGGUGGCGAAGGCGGCGACCUGGGACAAUACUGACGCUGAGGUGCGAAAAGCGUGGGGGAGC
rnacentral:rRNA from 1 species